rnacentral:lncRNA from 1 species
AUCACUCUCUCAUUCUUCAUCACCUUCUUCCUCUUCGUCAUCGCCACUACGUCAUCACCAAUCUAGUAAGAACAAGAUACAGAAGUACAAGGGAGUGAGGAUGAGAAGCUGGGGAUCAUGGGUUACUGAAAUUAGGGCACCAAAUAAAAAGACAAGGAUCUGGUUAGGUUCUUACUCGACCGCAGAAGCAGCUGCUAGGGCUUACGACGCUGCUCUCUUGUGUCUUAAAGGACCUAAAGCCAAUCUCAACUUCCCUCACAGUACUUCUCCUUUUCUCAUGAACAUCGACGAAAAGACCCUUUUGUCCCCAAAAUCCAUCC